rnacentral:misc_RNA from 1 species
UCCGGUUUGUCACCGGCAGUCCCAUUAGAGUGCCCAACUGAAUGUGGCAACUAAUGGCAAGGGUUGCGCUCGUUGCGGGACUUAACCCAACAUCUCACGACACGAGCUGACGACAGCCAUGCAGCACCUGUACACAGGCCACAAGGGAAUACCUAUCUCUAGGCACGUCCUGUGCAUGUCAAACCCAGGUAAGGUUCUUCGCGUUGCAUCGAAUUAAUCCACAUGCUCCGCCGCUUGUGCGGGCCCCCGUCAAUUUCUUUGAGUUUUAGCCUUGCGGCCGUACUCCCCAGGCGGGGCACUUAAUGCGUUAGCUGCGGCACGGCGGGAGUCGACACCCGCCACACCUAGUGCCCAUCGUUUACGGCGUGGACUAC